rnacentral:rRNA from 1 species
UACGUAGGGUCCGAGCGUUGUCCGGAAUUACUGGGCGUAAAGAGCUCGUAGGUGGUUUGUCGCGUUGUUCGUGAAACUCACAGCUUAACUGUGGGCGUGCGGGCGAUACGGGCAGACUAGAGUACUGCAGGGAGACUGGAAUUCCUGGUGUAGCGGUGAAAUGCGCAGAUAUCAGGAGGAACACCGGUGGCGAAGGCGGUUCUCUGGGCAUGACCUGACGCUGAGGAGCGAAGUGUGGGGAGCGAACAGG